AAAAGCUGAUUGAAGAGGAAAAGAGAAAGCAGAAAAUCAAAAAUUGGGAAUUGAUGCAAGAAGGAACGAUCUAUCAGUGUCACACAAAAGUAACCCAGCCAGAGACAAGGGAGCCCACAGCAGCUGUGAAGCGCAGACGAGACAAGAAGCCACUGCGGCAGAGUGACUACAACCCCCUGACUGGAGAAGGGGGAAGCAACUACUCGUACAGAGCGAGACGCAACAACCCGUCCAGAGGGGGGUGAGGUUAAGACUCCUCUGUCAGCGUUGAUUAAUGAAGGCAUCGUCUCAUAUCUUUAAGCUUAUCAAAUUUUGAAUGAUGUAUGACAGCUACAACAGAUAUACUCAAGAAAGGACAACCAGAGGGGUUCAGAAGGGCAGGAUCUACCCCUCCAACCAACGUGCUUCACAACGAAUGAGAAACUUUACUUGCUGAGGUUCCAAAGAUUUUCUUUAUGUGAAGAAUUGGGUGGUGCCCCUAGUGUUUACAUUUUGCUUCUGUUUUGUGAUCUGUCUACUGAUAAUGCUUGCUCAUAGGGGGAGAGGUGCAGUGCACUGUAGAUUCAUUUAGAUUCCCCCAAACAAGUUUAGAAAAGGGCUUUGAAAACGGAAAUUGAGGGAUCCGCUACAAUAUUUAAUGUUUCACACAAUGCUAAAGCAAAAUCUUAAGCAACACAUGCUAUGUUAAGUUUAAAAGGCUAAAUGAAUAUGAUUUCAACAUGCAGAAAACAGUAAUACACACACCACCAUUAGCAGGAGCAUUGCAAUGGAACGAUGCAACUGAAAAUGUCCUGUUGAGUCAUACACGAUGAACUGAGCUGAAACUGAAUAAUCCAUUCUUGCCUGAGCUACAUUUUGAUUGCAUGUCAUUUUGAUAGAAUGUAUUGCAUGGCUAUAGCCCAGAAGCUUUCAUUUGUGUAACCACUGGAAAAGAAAAUGCUUUGAGCCUGCAUAGUUCAUGAAGUUUCAUUUCAACAGUGGGAGAAUGCUCAGCUUCGCUUAGCAGACUCGUUUGGUUGUAUGGCAGAGCAUGCUUUAAAAAUACAUAGACAGAUGUGCAUUAUGGAACUUGAGUAUCCUCCAGCUUUGUGUUUCGAAUUCAGAGAUUGAAAGCUUUAAUGAUGUCAUUCUUGUAAAGGGUAGUUCCCAUGAGAAUGGUUGAAACUAGAUUAAUUAGAUGGGGCCUUGUUGAGACAAAUACAGUAUUUUAUUAUUUGUAUUAUGUUUACUGGUUUUAAAUAUCAGGAAUAUGC